rnacentral:rRNA from 1 species
GACGAACGCUGGCGGCGUGCCUAACACAUGCAAGUCGAGCGGGAACCUCAGGAGGGGUAACCCUUCUGAGGGGAGAGCGGCGAACGGGUGAGUAACACGUGGGCAACCUGCCCCGGACACCGGGAUAACCCAGGGAAACCUGAGCUAAUACCGGAUACUCCGGCGCGAUCGCAUGGUCGUGCCGGGAAAGCUCCGACGGUCCGGGAUGGGCCCGCGGCCUAUCAGCUUGUUGGUGGGGUAACGGCCCACCAAGGCGACGACGGGUAGCUGGUCUGAGAGGACGGCCAGCCACACUGGGACUGAGACACGGCCCAGACUCCUACGGGAGGCAGCAGUGGGGGAGUCUUGCGCUAAUGCGCGAAAGCGUGACGCAGCGACGCCGCGUGGGGA